CAGUCGCCGCGGUAAUACGUAGGGUGCAAGCGUUAAUCGGAAUUACUGGGCGUAAAGCGUGCGCAGGCGGUUUGUUAAGACAGAUGUGAAAUCCCCGGGCUCAACCUGGGAACUGCAUUUGUGACUGGCAGGCUAGAGUAUGGCAGAGGGGGGUGGAAUUCCGCGUGUAGCAGUGAAAUGCGUAGAUAUGCGGAGGAACACCGAUGGCGAAGGCAGCCCCCUGGGCCAAUACUGACGCUCAUGCACGAAAGCGUGGGGAGCAAACAGGAUUAGAGACCCCUGUAGUCCCUGUCUCUUAUAC
rnacentral:rRNA from 1 species